rnacentral:rRNA from 1 species
CCUACGGGGGGCAGCAGUAAGGAAUAUUGCUCAAUGGGGGAAACCCUGAAGCAGCAACGCCGCGUGGAGGAUGAAGGUUUUCGGAUUGUAAACUCCUUUUGUUAGAGAAGAUAAUGACGGUAUCUAACGAAUAAGCACCGGCUAACUCCGUGCCAGCAGCCGCGGUAAUACGGAGGGUGCAAGCGUUACUCGGAAUCACUGGGCGUAAAGCGCGCGUAGGCGGGAUAGCAAGUCAGAUGUGAAAUCCUAUGGCUUAACCAUAGAACUGCAUUUGAAACUGUUAUUCUAGAGUAUGGGAGAGGUAGGUGGAAUUCUUGGUGUAGGGGUAAAAUCCGUAGAGAUCAAGAGGAAUACUCAUUGCGAAGGCGACCUGCUAGAACAUAACUGACGCUGAUGCGCGAAAGCGUGGGGAGCAAACAGGAUUAGAUACCCCAGUAGUC